AUCCCAUCUCUCCUUCUGGCUACAGAGCACUUACUCCAGGAGGUUAGAAUUGUUUACAUAAUAUAAAACAGUCACUAAUGACAAUGUUCCACAUUUCCUUGCCUUUUUAAACUUAAGACCUUUAGAGUUUUUUGGUUGCUCAGUAGUAAUAUUUCUGCCUAUUUAUUUCAGCCCAUGAAAUCAAAUGCAGAUGUUCCUGAAGUAAGAUUUAAAUCUAAUUUAUUAAUUUGUUUGUCAUUAUCAUUAUUAUUGUUGUUGUUGUUUUUGGUGCAGUUUACAAUAGCUGUUGAAGAUGUUCAUGAUGUACAUUUUACAUGUUGUUCAUAUCUAUGAACAUAUGAUAUAGAUAAAAAACAAAUAAACUAGUGCAUUGUACUUAGGGCCACGAUCACGAACGGAUGGGGGGGAGGGGCUUAUACUAACUUGCACUGGGCCCAGCACCAUGCUUGGGUCGUCCCUGAUUUUUCUUGUACAUUGCAUCUGAACAAGGAAUAGUCUGCUAUGUAAAUAUUUUUCUGAUGUACAGUAUUAAGUGACUUGUUUCUAAUAUAUGAAUUUCUCUCUUACAGAUGUCAAAGACUCCAUCUCAUGUUCCCCUCUCACAUGCUCCUAAACCUUUGGAAUCAAAUGCAGAUUUCCUUGAUGUGCCGAAGGCUCCAUCCAAGGCUUCUCUGUCUGGUUCUGCCAAA